CAAGCACCAAAAUGGAAGAAAAAAAGGAACAAUUUUUUUUAUCAGCCAAAAAAAAGGGAACAAUUGCACAUUGUUAUUAUGCUCUUGUAUUAUUUAAUUCUCAUGCUUUUGUAGCACUACUUCUAUUGAGUAACGUGCUAAAAAUUGAUAAUGCACAUAGAGAUAUUCAAAAGCAAAUUGCACCAAAUGAGUUUCCUUAAUCGUCAUGCUCUAAAAACAAACUUCAAAGUUAGCAAAACGAUAGGUUUAUUUAUGUUCCAUGCAUGAAUUCUACAAGCGCUCGCAUGAACAUAUAAAAUUCUGUUUUAUUGUAUCACAUUAAUUCAUGCUAUAUAUGUAUCAAGACAUGCUUUUGUUAUUUCUUUUCUUUCCAAUCUUUUUCCUUGUGUAUCAAGUGGCAGACCAAUAAUACUCUUAGUUAAAUGGGGGGCAAGUGACGGGCUUUAUUGAAUUCUACAUCUAAAUCAAAAAGAGGAAAAAGGAAGAUGUAAAAGAUGCCUAUUAGUGCAUAUGAACAAUGCAAUCCAUAAUUUCUCUUAGCAGACAUUUGAACACAAAAAGUUUGUUUUUAUUCCCUACAAAACAAUGAGAAACCAACUU
rnacentral:misc_RNA from 1 species